GAUGAACGCUGGCGGCGUGCUUAACACAUGCAAGUCGAACGAAGCACUUUAUUUGAUUUCCUUCGGGACUGAUUAUUUUGUGACUGAGUGGCGGACGGGUGAGUAACGCGUGGGUAACCUGCCUUGUACAGGGGGAUAACAGUUGGAAACGGCUGCUAAUACCGCAUAAGCGCACGGCAUCGCAUGAUGCAGUGUGAAAAACUCCGGUGGUAUAAGAUGGACCCGCGUUGGAUUAGUUAGUUGGUGAGGUAACGGCCCACCAAGGCGACGAUCCAUAGCCGACCUGAGAGGGUGACCGGCCACAUUGGGACUGAGACACGGCCCAAACUCCUACGGGAGGCAGCAGUGGGGAAUAUUGCACAAUGGGCGAAAGCCUGAUGCAGCGACGCCGCGUGAGCGAAGAAGUAUUUCGGUAUGUAAAGCUCUAUCAGCAGGGAAGAUAAUGACGGUACCUGACUAAGAAGCACCGGCUAAAUACGUG
rnacentral:rRNA from 1 species